UACAAAUGUUUGUCACAAAAAAAUGAGAUAAAAUAUAGUUUUAAAUGUGGUUUAUAAUUAUUAUAAACUCUAUGAUUGUUAACAUAAUUAUAAUUAAAUAUAAAUAUCAGUUGUUUAGCUUUAAUGUACCUGAAUGUCUCGUUACCUCAUUAAAUAUUAAUUAUAAAUAUAAUUCACGUGUUUUGAUUUAUUAAAAAAUGUUUUUUUUCUUUAAAUGACUUUAUAUCUUUUGAUAACAAAUUAUCCCAGUGCAGUAACAACUAACCCCAUAAAGGGGUAAAACGUUUCUCUCUGACUCUGACACUUAUAAAUAACUUUGUACAAAAAUCAAUGAUGAUAUACUACAAUUAACCUUAUAAUCCUAAAAUACAAUAAAUUUGAUAAUAAAUCAGUCAAUAGUCAAAGGAACAACAAAUUAUUUUAUUAGUCAUUUUUUAUAUUUUCUUAAAAUCGGAACUUUUAUCCCCGUUCUCUCCUACGAUAACUUUGUUUCAUGAAAAUCUCUUUUCGUUGCUAUGCGUUGACCAUCGAAGAGGUCUGCUUCAUUCUGGAUGCCUUCCGAGAAAUCGAAUCGCACCGUAUAGUUGGAAGUAUAAUAUAUCAUCCCUUCUACCACGAGUUAGAAGUCACUUGUGUGGGAAGGUAAUACAGCAGCCAAUCACCGAUCAAACUUGCGUCUGCCCUCCAACCUGCCGAGCAUCGACUGAAUUCAACAAUUUUGCCUGUACUCAAAAGAAAUGCAGCCACGGAGGUGUACAAGUCUGUCGUAGUGUUCUUUUACUGUUUCUAUUGUGUUAAUCUCUCAGGAUUGGAUUUUACUUGUAUUUUAGCAGGGACCUAUACGUAUCACUUGGCACUGUUCGGAACGCGCGCGCGCGCGUGCUGGCCAAAGCAGCAGUCAUCUAACGAGCGCUUAAAUUGGACACUUAUACACUAGAUUCCGUUUCUUUUGAAUUUCAACAUUAUAUAUUUGUAUUUUAUCAAUACUAAAAUAAGGUAAGUUAACAAUUUUAUAAAUUAAUUAUAUUUUUGUAUAUUGUUGUUUAAUUUAUAAUAACUUACAUUGCUAGUAUUCUCAGAUUGCACCCAAGAAGUCCUAAGAGGUUUACAUUGCGCUCAGCUAAAAGAGCAAUGAGUUCCUUUUAAUCUUCAUAAAAUAUCAUGAAAAAACCCAGCAAACACAGCUAUAUAAUAGCAAUGUUGAUGCAAUAAACUUAAAGGUAACACGCAAUAUAACGUGUUCGUUACAUGUAACGUCCAUGUUAGUUAUAAUUUCCCACUCAUAGAACAUCAUAGUUACAUUAUAUCAACGUAACAUAUAACUGAGGGAAAACAUUGCUGUUAUGUAAUUGCAAAAUUGCAAUUAUAUAUCAAUAACCUAGUUCGACACUUUGUUACAUUGAUGCAAUGUAGCUUAUGUAAAGCUUUAGUGUUGUUAUAUUGCUGCAAUGAUGCUAUUUUACCAAUCUCACUUAAUCUAAUUUGCUUCUUGCACAUCUUAAUCCCAGAAAAGUUUUUGAAUUAAUUCUAAGCAAAAGCAAACCAAACAAUUUGUUUGCUUUUACAGAGAAUUAAUUCAAAGAUCUUAUCUGGGAUAAGAAUAUGCAUUAUAUAUUUCUAAGAAAUUAUGUUUUAACAAAGAAAAAAAAUAUAAAUCUUUUAUAAUUUAUUGUUUCAUUAAUUCUCCAUGGAAGCACAUAAUAAUAAAUAUGACUGUAAAAGUGAGUUGUUUCUAGAUAGAGAGAUUAGUUUUAUGAUGGUUUUUAUUAAGAAUCUCUAAUGAAGAGAUCAAGCCAUAAAGAUUAUAAUAUUUCUAUAAGUAUAUAUUUUAAAUAGUAUAUACCAAAUAUAAAUGAGUUUUUUUAGUAAUUCUAGUAUUAAACAAACUUUUAUGCACAUUAAAAAUUUCUGAAUUUAUUUAGCUUUCUUAAUUAUAGCAUUAACAGCUUUAUUUAAACUUUACAUUUUUGUAACGCUUUACGCUUUAGCCUAUGUGAGUUAAAAUUUUAAUAAAAAGUGUAUUCAACGAAAGAAAGGUACUCGACUUAUUGUCUUAUUAUUAUAAAUUUGGUUAUUUAUAAAAUUUUACACACAGACCAUCAGAAAACUAUAGUCACGACAAGAGUGGUAAAGACUCACAUUUGCAAAAGCAAAAUUUGCUCUUAUCUAAAAAGUGAUAUCUUAAACUUAAGAAAGACAGGAAGGUAAAAACAAAUUUAUUUACAAGUAUUUGAUUUUAUAAACAUCUUGCAAUUUAUGUGUUCUUGCACGGAACAUAUUAUUUUAUUGUAAAAACACUUUGAAAUCUGUUACGAUACAAAAGAGUAAAUUAAUUUCACAACAUACUAAAAUAUAUUUCUAAGCACAUGGAAACCGAUAGUACAUGUAUUAUACAUCAGUUACAGCAUAAAUAAUAAUAAUAAUAAUAAUAAUAAUAAUAAUAACAAUGGCUAAAGGGCAUUCAACCAUAGAAUUUGAAUGUAUUCAAAGCUCUGCUGCUUACUUUGUAAAAAUAGUUUGUCGCAUGCUAAUACAGCUAACGCGUUUAACCGUGUUUCGUAUGAAUUUUUUGAAAGUUAUUGACACAUGUUUUUAAACUAAUUCUAUACGAAAAACAUGAUCUUUGCGUUAUAUAUUUUAUAUAUAUAUAUAUACAGGGUGACCCAUUUUAACUUAGGCAGCCAAAUAACUCGAAAAAUAAGCACACUACGAAAAAAUGUUUAGAAUCAAAAUUUCGUCAUUUUGAGGGAGACGUACAAUGACGUUAAAAUCAGCCCCUCCCCGCCCAUCCAUCUGGGCGAUGAGGGGGGGAAAGUUUGAAAUCUUAAAUGGGAACCCUUAUUUUUUAUUGCAUAUUCGGAAUCUUUGGCUAAAAACACAAUUUGUCUGAAACAUUUUUCUCGAUU